UACGGAGGGGGCUAGCGUUGUUCGGAAUUACUGGGCGUAAAGCGUACGUAGGCGGCUUUGUAAGUUAGAGGUGAAAGCCCGGGGCUCAACCCCGGAAUUGCCUUUAAGACUGCAUCGCUUGAACGUCGGAGAGGUGAGUGGAAUUCCGAGUGUAGAGGUGAAAUUCGUAGAUAUUCGGAAGAACACCAGUGGCGAAGGCGGCUCACUGGACGACUGUUGACGCUGAGGUGCGAAAGCGUGGGGAGCGAACGGG
rnacentral:rRNA from 1 species